CUCAGUGCACUGUAGGGAUGGCCCGGAAAGGCUGAAAGUUUGGGGCGGCGGGUCCAAGCUCCUCCCUCGGCUCGGGUGCAGCGGGAAAGGGUACAGAGGCGCGGACCUGGCCGGCGGCGGGAUGCAGCGGGUCACCCGCCUGAGCCCUCCAUGACCUGCACUAAAGAUGCGCGGCUGCAGCUGGGCCGGGAAGCCCUGCAGGCGGCGCCGACGCUGCUGGUCCCCGCGGUGCUACUGGGUGGCGUUCUCGGCCUAGGCCUUGGCUUGUGGCUUGGCUGUCGCGCGAGCCACUUGCGCGCACGGCUCCAGAAAGAUGACAGGAAACGUCUGCUCGGGAGUUCAGAGCCCCCUGCACAGAGCCUACGGGACACUGGCUCUCAAGCCAAAGCCAGGAGGCGCCAGAGAGAAACCACUCGGGAUGAAGACGCCCCUGAGGUGUGUGAGCCAUCCUUGAGUGGCAACAUCACGGCAUUUGCACUGAAAGCCAGAGUUGUCUAUCCCAUCAACCAGAAGUUCCGGCCUCUGGCCGACGGAUCCUCCCACCCAUCGCUGCAUGAAAACCUGACACAGGCAGCGGCCAUCCUGCCCCACCUGCCCCACCAGCCAGCAGAGGCCUCACCAGCCAGCAGCCUGGGCAGCCUGAGCCAGGCUGGCAAGGAGGACGGCAGCUCCUCCUCCAGCAUGCGGUCAACCUACAGCGACGACCGGAUCCUCCAGUGUGCCUUUCUCCGGGUGGGCAGCUUCCCUGAGAUCCUGGCCUGUGAGAGUGUGGACAUUGACCUGUGUGUCUGCAGCCUUCACCUGAAAGACCUGCUUCAGGUAGACACGGCGCUGAGGCAAGAGAAGCACCUGAUGUUCAUUCAGAUUCUUAAAGCAUGCCUCCUGGAUUUUUUUCCUAAAAAGAAGCCUGAUGAUGAAUUAUGCCAGAAGGUUCUUUCCAAACAAGAGCAUGAUUUGGAGGAAUUAGAAAAGGGACUCCAGGCCAGAUUGGCGAACACAGAAAUGUUAGGCACUGGCGACUCUGGCUACGUUUCCCUGGCAGAUGUGGAGAGGAAGGAGAGAGAGCUCUCAGAGCAGCUCAUAGACAACAUGGGAGCUUUCUGGAAGCAGAUGGAAAGCAUCCAGCCCACUCUCAUGGACCAGUUUAAGUGUUCCAGCUCCAAAGCUCGGCAGUUCAUGAUGACUCUGACAGGAAGAAUGAUUGUCGCUGAAGGACUGCUGCAUGACUCUCAGGACCUGCAUGUCCUGGACACCCUGGAGAGGACAAUGGGUCGAUCCCACUUGGCAAGAAUGGUGGAGUUCCUGAGAACCCAGAUCCAGGAGGAGACCAAGUGCAGACUUGCUGCCAUCUCCCGUGGCCUGGAGUUGCUGACUGUCCAGGGGCAGCUGUCUGGGAGGCAAAAGGAGGAACUCCUGACUCAGCAGCACAAGGCCUUCUGGGAGGAGGCAGAGCGUUUUGGCAGGGAAUUCACGCAGCGGGGCAAAGAUCUGGUCCAGGCGUCUCAGGCUCGCCAGGCAGAGGCAGCAGCAGAGCUCACACAGACCCAAGAAGAAGAACGGAGGAGUUUCCUGGCUGAUUCCCAGCUGACCUCGGAUCCUGGGGAAUUCCUCAAGGCUUUUCAUGAGGUCCUGGAGAGGCAGCGGCUGACAAGGAGUGACCAAGAGGGAGACGAGGACACCCGAAUCACUGAGGCCAUGGCUGCGCUCUGCCAGGAGCUGUACUGUAGCACCAUGGGAACCUUCCAAAAGUUUGUGGACUCCCUGUUCCUGAAGACCCUCCCAGAAGUGACCAGCCUCCCUGUGGCAGAAUGUGAGACCCUGCGGCAGCAGGUCCAGGAGCAGGCAGCAAGGCAGCUGGGACAGGCAGACCGAUUCCGCAGACGACAGUGGGGACUCCUAUGUGAUCUAUUGGAGCAGGACAAACGGGUGUGGCUGGAGGAGGGUACGCUGUCCACGGUGCUGCAGAGGCAGCUGCGGGAUCACCACGAGAGCACCAUCCACGGCGUCCUGAGCAGAUUCAGUGGCCUUUCUGAAGAGUCCUCACGAGGCAUCCUGCAGGGCCACGAACUGCUGCUGUGCUCUGCUCUGCGCAGACUGGCCCUCCGAGGCACCACCAUCACUGCCCUGGCUCAGAUGAGGCUGUCUGGGAAGAAGAGGCUCCUGCAGGAGCUACAUGAGCAGCUGGCAUUAGAGCAGGGUGUGUCCCCAUGCCUGGAGGAGCAUCAAUGGCAGCUGCUUAGAGCCCUGGAGGCGCGGAUCCAGGAGGAGGCAGCCAGGUUGGAGGAUGAGGCACAGCAGACAGGUCUGCGGCUCCAGCAGCAGCUGCUGGCGGAGGCACAGGAGGCAGGGCGGCUGCUACAGCUGCACAUGGAGCGGGUCAUUGGGCAGGCGCUGCUGGUACAUGCUAGGAAUGUUGCCAGCAAAGGCCGGACCAGGGAGAAGGAAGACUUCAAGAGGACGCUGGUAGAGACGGUGGUGGAGAGUGUGUAUGUGACCAGCACUAGUGUCAACCGCCUCGUGCAGGCGCAUUACCAGGCCGUCGGGAAGCUCCUGCAGGCUCAUGAGGAACAAUUGCUGCAGCGCCUAAAGACCCUGCAGGGAGAGAGAAUCAAUGCUUACAAGCUGUGGAAGAAGCAAGAAUUCAGUGACCCGUCGUUGGAGAGUCAAACAGCGGAUGGUACCCAUGGAGCUUCCCAGGGGGUACAGCAGAGGAUGCUUUCGCAGCAGAAGAGGCUCCUGGACCAGUUCACGAAGCAUCAGCAAGGCCGCCUGAACUCUCAGAGGCAGAAGGCACAAGAGCUGGACCAGCUGCAAGCCCAGCUUGAGACCCAGCUGCAGGAAGCUGAGCAGACCCUUAUCUCAGAGCUAUCGACAUUGGCCCGAGUACCCCUUCCUGAGAACAAGCCAUUCUCCAACAAGCGAGGACUUCCAGAAAAGCCAGUAAGAACCAAAAGGAAGAAACCCCCACCUCGGGAGAGAGAGGACCUGGGGACACCAAACGAUGACCACCUUGCCUUGGCCGACCACACCACAGGACCACUCAGAAUAUCCAAAAAGUGUUGAACCUGUCGGAAUGGCUAAGAUACGUAAUACAAGUGGCAGAUCAUGCUGGCGAGGUUAUGAAGCACGGGGACCACUCUCCUCCACUGCUGGUGCAACUUACCAUGGUAAGACUGCAACAUCAGCCCAGCCACAAACCUUCAACCUACAAUCUAUCCCACCUUCAAGAUGGAUGGGGGCAAUGGAAGCUAGAACACGUGGAUAUGGACAACCAAUGCCUGAUCUCAUCUGAGGCCUACACCAUGAACGUGAGCCCAUGCCCCACACUGACACUGCCUGGGUGACUGGAAACCAAAGGCUGGAUAACCUAGAGACCUAGGAUAGAAAAAAAAUCAAUAAUGAUAUUCUGCUAUCCUCAAAACCAAUGCCUGGCCCAAUCAUCACCAGAGACCCACAGCUAAACAUUAGGUGCAGAAGGAGCCCAAAUUGGAGAUCUCCAGAGAACACCUCCCCUAAGAGCUCAGGGAACCCCAUAGAAGAGGGUGGGGAGAAUUGUGGGGUCCAGAGAGGUCAAGCACACCAGGACAAGGCUAUGGAAGAACCUGCUAAGCAGGGCUCAUAGCGGCUCACAGAGACUGCAGUGAUAACCGUGACGCUUGCAUGAGUCUGCACUAGGUCCUCUGCAAGUUUGUUAAGGUUGUUAGCUUGGUGUUUUGUGGGACUCCUAACAGUGGGAAUGGGAGUAUCUCUGACUCGUUUGCCUGCUCUUGGCUUUUCCCCCUACUGUGCUGCCUUACCCAACCCUAAUACAAAGGUUUGUGCCCCGUCUUAUUGGAACUUGUUAUGCUAUGUUUGAUUGAUAUCCUUGGGAGGACUGCUCUUUUCUGAAGGAAAACUGAGGAGUAGAUCUCAGGGAGAGGGGAGGAGGUAGUGGUGGAUACUGGGAGGAGUGAAGGGAGGGGGGGGACUGUGUUUGGGAUAUAUAUUGUAUGAGACGAGGGUUGUGUGUGUAUGUGUGUGUGUGUGUGUGUGUUUUACGAAAAAUAAAUAAUAAAUCCUCUCUAAAGUAUCUGAAGUCUAAAAUUCCACGUCUCUUGAAUAUGGGCUCCUGUAAAAAGAAGAGGAGGCAGAAAGAGGAGGCAGAGGAAGAAAAAGAGAAGGACGAAGAGGUGGAAGAAGGAGAAAGAGAGAGGGGAAGAGGGAGGGAAUGGAGGGAGAGAGAGACAGAGAGACAGAGACAGAGACAGAGACAGAGAGAAAAGUACUCCCUAACUCCAAGAGGUAAAGACCAGCACCAGGGCACAGCCACAAUCACAACAAAGCAAAACAAAGUUCAACAAUGUCAAAAUUUCAGUGCCUGGUGUCUGGGACGCACUCACAAUUCUGUGGAUUCAAAAGGCCUGGACAGCCCCACUUCUCUGGCAAUACCAACUACAACAUGCAUGGCUUGCCUCCUAGGCUCAGGCUGGCUCCACCCCAUACACGCUGCUGUCCGUGGUGGCUGUCCUGUGGCACUGACACCCCUGACAUGCCGGGAUCUUCUUUGUAUCUGGAUUGUGCCUUUACCAGUAGCCUCUUCUGCGCUCUCUUCAGAGACUCUAACCUGGCCUCAUGGUCCCAAGUCUCAACUUCUCCCCAUGACCCCUUUAAGCCUUUAAAACCAGGAUCUCAACAGGUGUGGUGGUGCACACCUUUAAUCCCAGAACAUAUAAGAGGCAGGUGGGUCUCUGAGUUCAAGGUCAGCCUGGUCCACAGAGCAAGUUUCAGAACAGCCAAGGCUAAAAAGAGAAACCUUAUCUCGAAAAUAAGUUAAUUAAUUAAUUAAUCAACUAAUUGAUUAAUAUAAAGCCAGGACUUCUCCUGACUUCUAGAGAGUAUGCAGGGGAAGACGACUCCGGAGAGUCAGGGUGACUAAGGAGAGGAGUGCCUGGUCUAAGAGAAGCCCUUGUCCAGUAGUACCUACUUCACCCCGGGAUCAUGAUAGGAGACUACAGCUCCUCAGGAGUCAGAGGGUUGCCACAGGAGGGGAUUCUUGGUUUCUAAGAAGCUGGUACACCAUCACAAACACAGAAAUAUAAUAGGAACAAAACCUCCCUCCCAAUGUGGGGCUUGUGACACCCACAAGCUGAUGUCUAUGCAGCCAGGCACCUGCUGGGCCCCAAGCUGCCCAAUAGACCUUGAGCCCUGCCUAACAGGGAUUUUUUUUUUAAAGGUUGCUUAUCACAUCCCAUCCCAAGUAGGCCCUGGGUACUCACAGAACCUUGCAAUGCCUUUCUCUCAUAGGGAACUGCUACUGUAAGUAAAGAUCUUUCCCCUGAAACCAAGUUGGUCUGGCCCCAUGUCCUUUCCUAUAGGGUCUCUGUGGAACUGUAGAGAAAAAUUACCACUCACUUUGCAAGGGUGCCCUUCACUUGGGGACACUCUUAUUCUUUAACCCCGGGCUUACUUAGCUGGAUAGUAGCAUGGUUCCUUACAGAAAUUACAGCCUUCUCCCAGCCCCUCCGCUCUAGAGCACGACAUAGAGAGUCACUGCUCUGUAUCAUCCUUAGUGACCCAGUUCCUAAGCACACCCAUCUGUGAGCUGUGUCUGUCCAUCAACGCAUAACCCAAAAGCCUGCCUAUUGAUCCAGGGUCUUGACCCAUUUCCCCAAGACGUGUACUCACUCUUCUCUCCCAUCUCUCACCCCCAGGGUCCCCAGUACUCGGUCAUCGCAGAGUCAGAAUGAGGACCAGGCAGUUGAUAAACCCAAGUGAAAACACCCACUCAGAUCAACGGGCAAUUUAAUUUCUUUAUUUUUUUUCACAAGCUUUGAAUUCAGAAAUAAGAGCCACCAACAAGUCAGUUAUUAAGUAAAAAUGGAAGUGAAUACAAAGGAAAACUGUACAAAACUUUAAAAAUCUGACUGCCCUGCUCGAACUCCUCAGAGGGUCAGAGACUCAGGCAGCCUGGGCAGUCAUUACCGCACCGUCCUCAAGGCCUGGGUGGGGUGUCAGGACACCCCUUUCUGGGUGUGAGCCUGGCUGGGCCCAAAGCCCAAGGCUGGCUGGAAGAA